rnacentral:misc_RNA from 1 species
GAAAUGCGAUAAGUAAUGUGAAUUGCAGAAUUCAGUGAAUCAUCGAAUCUUUGAACGCACAUUGCGCCCGCCAGUAUUCUGGCGGGCAUGCCUGUUCGAGCGUCAUUUCAACCAUCAAGCCCCCGGCUUGUGUUGGGGACCUGCGGCUGCCCGCAGGCCCUGAAAAACAGUGGCGGGCUCGCUGUCACACCGAGCGUAGUAGCAUACAUUCUCGCUCAGGGCGUGCUGCGGGUUCCGGCCGUUAAACGACCUUCAUAACCCAAGGUUGACCUCGGAUCAGGUAGGAAGGCCCGCUGAACUUAAGC